rnacentral:rRNA from 1 species
UAAGGAAUAUUGGUCAAUGGACGCAAGUCUGAACCAGCCAUGCCGCGUGAAGGAUGAAGGUCCUCUGGAUUGUAAACUUCUUUUAUCUGGGACGAAAACGGGAUUUUUAUCUCAAUUGACGGUACCAGAGGAAUAAGCACCGGCUCACUCCGUGCCAGCAGCCGCGGUAAUACGGAGGGUGCGAGCGUUAUCCGGAUUUACUGGGUUUAAAGGGUGCGUAGGUGGGCUUAUAAGUCAGUGGUGAAAUCUCCGAGCUUAACUUUGAAGCUGCCGUUGAUACUAUAGGUCUUGAAUUAUCUGGGGGUAAGCGUAAUAUGUCAUGUAGCGGUGAAAUGCUUAGAUAUGACAUAGAACACCAAUUGCGAAGGCAG